UACGGAGGAUGCGAGCGUUAUCCGGAUUUAUUGGGUUUAAAGGGUGCGCAGGCGGCCAUUUAAGUCAGCGGUUAAAUCGUGGGGCUCAACCCCAUUCUGCCGUUGAUACUGGGUGGCUUGAUUGCGGUCGAGGUUGGCGGAAUUCGUUGUGUAGCGGUGAAAUGCAUAGAUAUGACGAAGAACACCGAUUGCGUAGGCAGCUGACCAGACCGCAAAUGACGCUCAUGCACGAAAGUGCGGGGAUCGAACAGGAUUAGAUACCCUGGUAGUCCGCACAGUAAACGAUGAAUACUUGUUUUCGGCGAUAUAAUGUCGGAGGCAAAGCGAAAGCGAUAAGUAUUCCACCUGGGGAGUACGCCGGCAACGGUGAAACUCAAAUGAAUUGACGGGG
rnacentral:rRNA from 1 species